rnacentral:rRNA from 1 species
AGUGAACGCUGGCGGUAGGCCUAACACAUGCAAGUCGAACGGCAGCACAGUAAGAGCUUGCUCUUACGGGUGGCGAGUGGCGGACGGGUGAGGAAUACAUCGGAAUCUACUUUUUCGUGGGGGAUAGCGUAGGGAAACUUACGCUAAUACCGCAUACGACCUACGGGUGAAAGCAGGGGAUCUUCGGACCUUGCGCGAUUGAAUGAGCCGAUGUCGGAUUAGCUAGUUGGCGGGGUAAGGGCCCACCAAGGCGACGAUCCGUAGCUGGUCUGAGAGGAUGAUCAGCAACACUGGAACUGAGACACGGUCCAGACUCCUACGGGAGGCAGCAGUGGGGAAUAUUGGACAAUGGGCGCAAGCCUGAUCCAGCCAUACCGCGUGGGUGAAGAAGGCCUUCGGGUUGUAAAGCCCUUUUGUUGGGAAAGAAAAGCAGCAGGUUAAUACCCCGCUGUUCUGACGGUACCCAAAGAAUAAGCACCGGCUAACUUCGUG